UAGUAGGUACAAAGGAGGACGCAGCCCCGCGCACCUGUCAUGGCCGUCAACAUCAACAAAACAACAUAGACUGUUGUUUUCCCGGAAUUGGCAUUCGCAUUAUUGAUUUUUCGGUCCGGUAUUGUGGUAUCCAUUAUACUCCCAGUGCGUAUCGUGUAACACCCAGACCGAAUCGGUCGCAGCUUGCUGUGCUCUCGGUCUUUGUGAAAUCCAAGAUGCCGGUGAAUACAUCGCAAACUCAUCUUCUGGUGGCGGUGACGACGCAGCCGAUGCGCGGCUUCAACACCGAGCAGGCGGAGCAGCUGAAGAAGGAGAUGCAGAACCGCGUGUUCGAGCAGAUCCUGGCGCCCGCCGUGAGCCCGGAGCCCGCGUUCGCGCCCAUGUUCCGCGGCACCACCCACCUGAGCGAGGGCUUCAUCAAGAUGUGGUGCGAGGACGAGGCCACGCUGGGCUGGCUGAAGCAGACCGUGGCCACGCUGUCCUCGCCCAUCCCGGACACCAAGCUCGUGGUGGUGCGCCAGCUCGAGAUCUCCAACAAGGCCCGCAUCGGCCUCCUGAUCGAGGCCGCUGACGGUGAGUCAGCUGAGUAGCAAUAUGAGUUUCCUUUUCACCACUGCGAGAGCUUGCCAUUGGAUUAAAAGGAAACAAACAAGACCCCGCAAGCCCCCACGUCUCGGCCUCCUGCUCGAUGUCUAUGAUCUAUCCACAUUAUAAAUGUCAACUUUAAUUUAGUCUGUAACAUUAAGUUUAGUUAGGGUACAUAUUUAUUAUUUUCUAUUUAACCAUUAAGAUUGAGUUACUCUAUCAAAAUUUGUGAUGUGUAAACCUUUAAGUUAUUGUUGGAAUUUUUAUCUAAUCUAUAUUAUUACUUACCUAAAAGGUACAUGAAUGUCAUGAUUAACUAAGUGUAGUAAAAAAUCAAUCCUUA